rnacentral:lncRNA from 10 species
GCCAAUUCUCGUGGUUGUUUGGCCACCAGUCAUUUUCCCCACUCCCCCUUCUCUUUUUGAGAGACUUGGUUUUGUUCUGGUGAGUAUCACUCCACCGGGUGACUCAGGGAAUAGUCUCGUUAGUCAAAGACAAUCAUAAUAACACCACAUCCCCCUUGCCAGUGAUUAGAUGCUGCAGAGCUUCUGAGAAAAUGAAACACACAGGGAGAGACCAGCCCCAUCUCCUGCUGAAUAUAGUUGCACCUGCACAUAGUCCCCAGAAGUGUGGGGCCAUCUUGGUGCCAGCCCGAGGAAGAAUUUAAUACACAGAGGAGAGCAGAGCCAAGGGAAUCCCAGAGAAGCAGGGGUGGCUCUAGUAUGCCAUGGCUGGCCCCUGUCCUACCUCUAGACCUAACAUUUUAUGAGGUAAAAUGUCCUCUUAUUGUUUAAGCCAAUUUGGGCUGGAGCUUCUAUUACUUGAAGUAAAAGGCAAUAACUGAUACAGUCUGCUUUGUCUCAGGAAGAGGAUUUGGUAUAAGAGGGAGAAGAGAGAAGGCAGAUAGUAUUACAUGUUAGGUGAUUCAGAAAGGCAAAAUUCACAUUCAGAGUAGGAGACCCAAUAUUGGUGAUGCUGAAGCAAAAGGGCUUUGGGGUUAAGCCAAGUAAUCAAAAACAAAAGUCUAAGUCCCCUAUACGAUCAGUUUCCUAAUGGGGACUUACAACUGAACAGCAAUG